rnacentral:rRNA from 1 species
UACAGAGGUGGCAAGCGUUGUUCGGAAUUACUGGGCGUAAAGGGCGCGUAGGCGGUUCGUUAAGUCCUGUGUGAAAUCCCCCGGCUCAACUGGGGAACUGCACAGGAAACUAGCGGGCUUGAGUUCGGGAGAGGGAAGCGGAAUUCCGGGUGUAGCGGUGAAAUGCGUAGAUAUCCGGAGGAACACCGGUGGCGAAGGCGGCUUCCUGGAUCGACACUGACGCUGAGGCGCGAAAGCUAGGGGAGCAAACGGG